rnacentral:lncRNA from 1 species
CACAUUUAACCUGAUGUAUCCUGUUUCGAUGGUUUCUGGCAGUACGCUGGAUGCAAAUGUUAGGACAAGAUGCUUGGUGGGGAUUUCCUUGUUGUCUAGUCUAAGUAUAAUACAUUUUACAUUAGUGACAUUUUGUUCUUUCCACCCUUCCAGGAGUUCAGCUUCUGUCAAAUCUUGGAGGUCUGCCUGUGACACGACUCCCCAUGAGCUAUUCAUUGUUCGGUGUUGUGUAAUAGAAAUUGGUAAAUUACCAAAUGUCACAAGACUGCCAAGCUUCUCGUACUGAUGUUUCUGAAGGAUCUCAAGAAGAAGGUCCCCGCUAGCCAUUUUCGUUACUUUAUAACCUGACCCUAUGGCUUCGGUUAAAGAUUUUGCAACUAUAAAAGGGCGAAUUAAAUCUGGCCCGUUUUUCGGAGUUCUCGCUGUGCACAACAUGGUAUUUCGGAUAGGUCUCUCUCUCUUGUUCUGUUGAAGCAUGUGGUUAGGUCAUCGGUGCAUCCCCUCUUUUGAGGGUGACGAUCAAGUAUGCGGGGAAAUGCGGGUGUUCCAAUAGUACCUUCUUUUCUUUUCGGUGGCAAUGGCAGCCACCCACCACGGAGCCCAACUAGGGGACGCUGCAGCACUUAACGGGUAAGGCUGCAGACGCCAACCGUACAUUGCCACUAUAACCUAAUAUAUUAUACCCAAGGGAGGGCACAUACACAAGGUUAACCCUAGCCGCCUAGGAAAAUUAGGAAGUGACAGAAGAGAAGAGAUGAAAGGACAGUAAAAGAAAGAAGAUAGGAAAGAAAAAGGUUGAAGAGGUGGACAGGAAAAGGCGACUGCCGAUUUCCCCCGGGUGGGUCAGUCCGGGGGUGCCGUCUACGUGAAGCAGAGGCGAAAAAGGUGUGUUGCCUCCACCAGGGGGCCUUAACGGUUCAACACCUGGCAUUGGCUCAACCCCCAGGAUCCCCCUUUCCCCAGACACAGCUAAGCCGUGCAAGGCUACACGCGGGAGGGUCCGACCCUUAUGUGCUCAGGUUCGUGGUGUCGCAACACACCAAACGCCUGCUGACGCAGACACCCCUGCGGGGUGGACAGGCGAUCUGCUGGCAAACAGCUCACUGGUGAAAAAUGAUCGGGAUACAUAUAUGUGUAUGGGGUAGUGAAAAGCAUUUCUAAGAUAAAGACAAACGACGUUACUGAGCUGCAAUACAGGCUGCGAGGCCCUCGCCCCUGCGAGUGCUAAUCAGUCAUGAGGUGACAAUAAUUGCAGCUUCUGCACUGCUUUUAUGCAAUAUCGAAACAGGAUUUGCUGAUUCACUCAGUAAACAAAAGUGUGUCGACGUAGUAAGCAUUUGUUUUUUUAAUACCCUCGAUAUCUUGACAUUCAAUUAAUUCAGAUAUGUUCUCAGUCCCAUGAAAUCCGAAUUAACGAGGUUUCACUGUACCUUGUAUACUGAAAAUGUUUUAUCUCUUUGCAGAUGCGUCAGCAGUGAUGUGACAAAGGCUGAAUGCAUCCCCUACAUCCAGAAGGCAUUUGGCAUCAGGGAAAGUCAACAUGCCUGCGCCUUCUUCAGGGCACUGACAUGGUUUAAUGACAAAGCCUCAAGUAUUGCUUGCCUAUGCCAACAAGAACAGUUGUGUUGAGACACAAGAACCUUCACGCAUGGCCUUUGACAGCAAGCCUUUGUGGCCAGCCAGUGCUCUCUACGAAGGCUGGCCUGCUCUGGCAGUAGCGGGAUUCAUCUCCAAGAUUUAUCCAUGAUCCCCUUUGCUGCUAUUUGUCACUCUUAUUAAUUACACUUCCUGAAUCUUUUCUAAUUUAUUAGGUAAUAAAGUAUGACUAUGUGACAUGGUGUGAAGUAGAUGUCUUGCUGCAUUUUCGCUUGCAAUCAUCUUUUAUGCAUGAAAAACUCAUUGUACAGUGUAUGGAAAAAAAUAACAGCAUAAUAUGAUUUAUCUUUCAGUUC